rnacentral:rRNA from 1 species
AGUGAACGCUGGCGGUAGGCCUAACACAUGCAAGUCGAACGGCAGCACAGUAAGAGCUUGCUCUUACGGGUGGCGAGUGGCGGACGGGUGAGGAAUACAUCGGAAUCUACUUUUUCGUGGGGGAUAACGUAGGGAAACUUACGCUAAUACCGCAUACGGCCUACGGGUGAAAGCAGGGGAUCUUCGGACCUUGCGCGAUUGAAUGAGCCGAUGUCGGAUUAGCUAGUUGGCGGGGUAAAGGCCCACCAAGGCGACGAUCCGUAGCUGGUCUGAGAGGAUGAUCAGCCACACUGGAACUGAGACACGGUCCAGACUCCUACGGGAGGCAGCAGUGGGGAAUAUUGGACAAUGGGCGCAAGCCUGAUCCAGCCAUACCGCGUGGGUGAAGAAGGCCUUCGGGUUGUAAAGCCCUUUUGCUGGGAAAGAAAAGCAGCAGGUUAAUACCCCGCUGUUCUGACGGUACCCAAAGAAUAAGCACCGGCUAACUUCGUG